AUGUGCCACUCGUACAUUCCGGUUCUUGCGCACUUACCUGACGACUGCUCGCUACAUCUUGUCAGCC
rnacentral:sRNA from 2 species